rnacentral:rRNA from 1 species
UAACGGCAGUAGCUUGCUACUAGACGACGACCGGCGCACGGGUGAGUAACGCGUAUGUAAUCUGCCUUGUACAGAGGGAUAGCCCAGAGAAAUUUGGAUUAAUACCUCAUAGUAUUACUGAAUCGCAUGAUUUGGUAAUUAAAGCUCCGGCGGUACAAGAUGAACAUGCGUGACAUUAGCUAGUUGGUAAGGUAACGGCUUACCAAGGCCACGAUGUCUAGGGGUUCUGAGAGGAUGAUCCCCAACACUGGUACUGAGACACGGACCAGACUCCUACGGGAGGCAGCAGUGAGGAAUAUUGGUCAAUGGACGCAAGUCUGAACCAGCCAUCCCGCGUGAAGGAUGACUGCCCUAUGGGUUGUAAACUUCUUUUAUAUGCAAAUAAACCUGCUUUCGUGAAAGUAGCUGAAGGUAGCAUAUGAAUAAACACCGGCUAACUCCGUGCCAGCAGCCGCGGUAAUACGGAGGGUGUAAGCGUUAUCCGGAUUUAUUGGGUUUA